rnacentral:tRNA from 1 species
GAGGGUAUAGCUCUGUGGUAGAACACGUGCUUAGCAUGCAUGAGCUCCUGGGUUCAAUCCCCAGUAUCUCCA